AGUGAACGCUGGCGGUAGGCCUAACACAUGCAUGUCGAACGGCAGCACAGUAAGAGCUUGCUCUUACGGGUGGCGAGUGGCGGACGGGUGAGGAAUACAUCGGAAUCUACUUUUUCGUGGGGGAUAACGUAGGGAAACUUACGCUAAUACCGCAUACGACCUACGGGUGAAAGCAGGGGAUCUUCGGACCUUGCGCGAUUGAAUGAGCCGAUGUCGGAUUAGCUAGUUGGCGGGGUAAAGGCCCACCAAGGCGACGAUCCGUAGCUGGUCUGAGAGGAUGAUCCGCCACACUGGAACUGAGGCACGGUCCAGACUCCUACGGGAGGCAGCAGUGGGGAAUAUUGGACAAUGGGCGCAAGCCUGAUCCAGCCAUACCGCGUGGGUGAAGAAGGCCUUCGGGUUGUAAAGCCCUUUUGUUGGGAAAGAAAAGCAGCAGGUUAAUACCCCGCUGUUCUGACGGUACCCAAAGAAUAAGCACCGGCUAACUUCGUG
rnacentral:rRNA from 1 species